rnacentral:rRNA from 1 species
UACGGAGGGGGCGAGCGUUAUUCGGAAUUAUUGGGCGUAAAGGGCGCGUAGGCGGCCUUGUAAGUCAAAGGUGAAAUCCCUCGGCUCAACUGAGGAACUGCCUUUGAAACUGCAAGGCUUGAGGCCGGGAGGGGGUAGCGGAAUUCCCAGUGUAGCGGCGAAAUGCGUAGAUAUUGGGAGGAACACCAGUGGCGAAGGCGGCUACCUGGACCGGUACUGACGCUGAGGCGCGAAAGCGUGGGGAGCAAACAGG